rnacentral:rRNA from 1 species
GGCAGAGGGGGCAAGCGUUGCUCGGAAUCACUGGGCGUAAAGGGCGCGUAGGCGGGAUGGCAAGUCGGUCGUGAAAUCCUUCGGCUCAACCGAAGAACGUCGGCCGAUACUGCCGUUCUUGAGGGAUGCAGAGGAGAUUGGAAUUCCCGGUGUAGCGGUGAAAUGUGUAGAGAUCGGGAGGAACACCGGUGGCGAAGGCGGGUCUCUGGGCAUCUCCUGACGCUGAGGCGCGAAAGCGUGGGGAGCAAACGGG